CGUAUCACUUAAAGCGAUUCAGCGGAUGACGAUUGACGGAGCGAAGCGACGUCAAAGCGUAUACAAAGUCGAGUCGGUUUAAGGAUACGUUCGUUGGGUAGGGGAGCGUUCUGUAAGCCUGCGAAGGUGGCCUGUGAGGGUUGCUGGAGGUAUCAGAAGUGCGAAUGCUGACAUAAGUAACGAUAAAGCGGGUGAAAAGCCCGCUCGCCGGAAGACCAAGGGUUCCUGUCCAACGUUAAUCGGGGCAGGGUGAGUCGACCCCUAAGGCGAGGCCGAAAGGCGUAGUCGAUGGGAAACGGGUUAAUAUUCCCGUACUUGGUGUUACUGCGAAGGGGGGACGGAGAAGGCUAUGUUGGCCGGGCGACGGUUGUCCCGGUUUAAGCGUGUAGGUGUGUGUUCCAGGUAAAUCCGGUUCACUUUAACACUGAGGCGUGAUGACGAGGCACUACGGUGCUGAAGCAACAAAUGCCCUGCUUCCAGGAAAAGCCUCUAAGCAUCAGGUAACAUCAAAUCGUACCCCAAACCGACACAGGUGGUCAGGUAGAGAAUACCAAGGCGCUUGAGAGAACUCGGGUGAAGGAACUAGGCAAAAUGGUGCCGUAACUUCGGGAGAAGGCACGCUGACAUGUAGGUGAAGUGAUUUACUCAUGGAGCUGAAGUCAGUCGAAGAUACCAGCUGGCUGCAACUGUUUAUUAAAAACACAGCACUGUGCAAACACGAAAGUGGACGUAUACGGUGUGACGCCUGCCCGGUGCCGGAAGGUUAAUUGAUGGGGUCAGCGCAAGCGAAGCUCCUGAUCGAAGCCCCGGUAAACGGCGGCCGUAACUAUAACGGUCCUAAGGUAGCGAAAUUCCUUGUCGGGUAAGUUCCGACCUGCACGAAUGGCGUAAUGAUGGCCAGGCUGUCUCCACCCGAGACUCAGUGAAAUUGAACUCGCUGUGAAGAUGCAGUGUACCCGCGGCAAGACGGAAAGACCCCGUGAACCUUUACUAUAGCUUGACACUGAACAUUGAGCCUUGAUGUGUAGGAUAGGUGGGAGGCUUUGAAGUGUGGACGCCAGUCUGCAUGGAGCCGACCUUGAAAUACCACCCUUUAA
rnacentral:rRNA from 1 species